AUGCAAGUCGAGGGGCAGCAUGGUCUUAGCUUGCUAAGACUGAUGGCGACCGGCGCACGGGUGCGUAACGCGUAUGCAACUGGCCUCACAGAGGGGGAUAACCCGUCGAAAGACGGACUAAUACCGCGUACACUCUAUGUUGGGCAUCCAAUGUAGAGGAAAUGAAAUUCGCUGUGAGAUAGGCAUGCGUCCCAUUAGCUAGUUGGUGAGGUAACGGCUCACCAAGGCGACGAUGGGUAGGGGAACUGAGAGGUUGAACCCCCACACUGGUACUGAGACACGGACCAGACUCCUACGGGAGGCAGCGGUGAGGAAUAUUGGUCAAUGGGCGAGAGCCUGAACCAGCCAAGUCGCGUGAAGGAUGACUGUCUUAUGGAUUGUAAACUUCUUUUAUACGGGAAUAACAAGAGCCACGUGUGGCUCCCUGCAUGUACCGUAUGAAUAAGCAUCGGCUAACUCCGUGCCAGCAGCCGCGGUAAUACGGAGGAUGCGAGCGUUAUCCGGAUUUAUUGGGUUUAAAGGGUGCGUAGGCGGCCUGUUAAGUCAGCGGUGAAUCUAGGAGCUUAACUCCUAAAUUGCCAUUGAUACUGGCGGGCUUGAGUGUAGAUGAGGUAGGCGGAAUGCGUGGUGUAGCGGUGGAAUGCAUAGAUAUCGCGCAGAACUCCGAUUGCGAAGGCAGCUUACUAAGGUACAACUGACGCUGAAGCACGAAAGCGUGGGUAUCAAACAGGAUUAGAUACCCUGGUAGUCCAUGCAGUAAACGAUGAUAACUGGGCGUAUGCGAUAUACAGUAUGCUCCUAAGCGAAAGCGUUAAGUUAUCCACC
rnacentral:rRNA from 1 species